GGACCCGUUUAGGACCGCCGCUCGCUACUCGCUACCGAGCUACUGGCCAUGGCGAUUAUAGUAGUGAUCUGCCGCAGUGCCACUGGGAAUAAAACCCUCCGCAAAGCACACGUUAACUCCCACCACUUCUCCUCGAUCUUUGCUCCGAUCCACAUUCCUACUGCCACACCAGAAACCACACCUCACCCACCAUCCUUCCUCGUCUGCGCACUGUCCUAGAAGAACAUACCAACCACACCACCGCAGACCUGACUCCAGUCGUGCCUGACACCCAAGAUGAGUUCUGCUUCCAGCAGGUUUUGUCGUUCGGUGACGCUGCCACUUCUGCUGCUGCUGCUGCUACUUCUGCUGUUGAGUUCGUCGUCAUUGGCGCUGGCCGACGCGAGUGGGCAGCAGCAGCACCGGCCGGCCCGGCGGCUGCUGGUGUGGCCGCCGUCGACCCACGGCUCCGAGCAACGAAUGCGGGUCGACGGUGAGAAGAGGCCCUUCAAAGGCGCACGCGCGAGCUUGGGGCGCCGGAAGAUACCGGCCUCACGGUAUAGUCCCAUCCACAACAGGUAGAAAGGUACUCUGAUGGCCGUGCAUGCUUGCUUGUUCGCACAACCUCAGUGGUUGCGGUCUCUCGGUGGCUCACCGAUGGUCGCAUCGUGCCCCGAGCAAAUCCAUGGCCGAACUGACGCGGCUGCAUUGGGUGCAGUCACCACCAAGCCUGCCCCUGCUUGCCACAACCGUGGGUGACGGUGGUUGCGGCGGCCGGCGGGGAGCUUGAGUAGUAUCUUCCGCAGUUCCAUUGAACAUGCGUUUAGCUUGCUGAAGCACAAGCUUGUGUACAUGGAGGGGGAGUAAGAAAAGGAGAUCAUUUUCCAUGCAUCACUGUUGGCUAGCUUCUCACAAACAAGAAGACCAAGUCCGGCAAGGCUUCCACAACCACUCUAAACAUAUCCAUGCAUGGCAGAUGAUGGAGAACUCCAGAUGAUGAAGCUGAUGAUAGCAUUACUCCAACGCCAGAUCCAUCAUAGCCGAGGUGGAGGCAACAUAAGCAAAAAUCGAAGAAAGGGGAAGAUGGUGGCAUAUACAAGGAGACACUCCACAUGCAUGCUUGUUGUGUAGGAGAAACUGGAGGCUGCCAAGUGCCAGGUAAAAGAAGAAAGAAGCAAGGUGCAAGGAGACAAGUUAAAUUCGGAAGCAAGACGUGCCACUUAAGGAGGGCAAGCUCAUGCGAGAGCAAGAGCAGAAGAUCAUGUUUUGCCAUCUCUAGUUGACUAGUUCUCUACCAUGGAUCCAGGCCAAAAAGCUUAUGUCUUGGCUAUGGAACUUUGAAGAUGUCUGGGCUUAAUGGCUUGGGUGGUGAUGGAAAUGAUAGUGGAAGUGCUGGUGUUUGAUCUU